rnacentral:lncRNA from 1 species
CUGCCACCAUGCCUGGGUAAUUUUUGUAGUUUUAGUAGAGCCAGGGUUUCACCAUGUUGGCCAGGCUGGCCUCGAACUCCUGACCUCAGGUGAUCCACCUGCCUUGGCCUCCCAAAGUGCUGGGAUUACAAGUAUGAGCCACUGGGUGGGGCCAGAAAUUCAUUAUUUCUUAUUGGCCACAGGAAACACUUAUUCUCUGCCUUAAUUGCACCCCACAACCAGCUGCAGAGAAUGUGUAGGUAAAAUUUGAAAAAACAUCCAUUGGCUUCUAAAACAUCUACAUAAAAUUAGCCAGGCCUGGGUGCAUGCGCCUGUAGUCCCUGCUACUCAGUAGGCUGAAGUAAGAGGAUCCCUUUGAGCCCAGGAGGUUGAGGCUGUGGUGAGCCAUGUUCACACAACUGCACUCCAGCCCAAGUGACAGAGCAAGACUGUCUGAAAAAGAAAAAAAUGCUAGAAUGAUAGGUGGAGAAAAAAAUAUCUAGAAGCUGUUUAUUUUUUGGGAGGAAUAUUUUUAGGUGAUCUAAUUUCUUUCUAAACUAAUGGAUUACAAGUUAAGAGUUGAUAAAAAUGUAGGAUUUCUUAAUAAGGAAUAAAUUUAAUAAGAUAGGAACUAGUAGAGUAGAAUUUAUUGUAAGUGGGAUGUGCUCCAUUUAUAGCACAAACGGUCUGUUAACAAAAUCUGUUAUUGAAUAAAGAAAGUAUCUUCAUGAAAGUGGAUUGACCUGUCAAUUCAGUCAAAAUAAUACACACAGCCAAAAGACCUUCUGCUUUCCACAUUCCCUUCUUUCAGCUUUUGUGCACUCCAGAGGCACUUGAGCAAGCAAAGAGAUUGGCUCCAAGAUCUUAGUCUUGCCGACUUCACAGAGUUUGCAUGCUGCAGCUUUGCAGUGGAAGCUGUGUUGAUCCUGAGUGCUUUGUUAAAAACAUUCUGCAUGCUGACCUCCGUCUCAGUGUUUGCUUCCUGGGGAAACCUGAAACAGGACUCGAUGCUAGAAGCUAUCCAGAAGAACCAGAUUGGCCACUGUCCUUGCCAGAAGAUCCGAUCUCCUGUCUAUGGCCACCACCUAACACUGCUCACUUCUACAUCUAAACCUCAGAGUGCGAGCCCUGUGAAAACGAGAACCUCAUCUGUCUCCUUCACCACUGGAACUCCAGCAUCCAGAAUAGUCCCUGGACCUGAUGAGGUAUUCCAAAAAUAUUAG